GACGAACGCUGGCGGCGUGCUUAACACAUGCAAGUCGAACGAUGAACCCGGAGCUUGCUCCGGCGGAUUAGUGGCGAACGGGUGAGUAACACGUGAGUAACCUGCCCUUGACUCUGGGAUAACUGCGGGAAACUGUAGCUAAUACCGGAUACGACCCUCGGCGGCAUCGCCAGGGGGUGGAAAGAAUUUCGGGCAAGGAUGGACUCGCGGCCUAUCAGCUAGUUGGUGAGGUAACGGCUCACCAAGGCGACGACGGGUAGCCGGCCUGAGAGGGGGGACGGCGACGCAGGGACUGCGACACGGCCCAGACUCCUACGGGAGGCAGAAGUGGGGAAUAUUGGACAAUGGGCGCAAGCCUGGUGCAGCAACGCCGCGUGAGGGAUGACGGCCUUCGGGUUGUAAACCUCUUUUAGUAGGGAAGAAGCGGAAGUGACGGUACCUGCAGAAAAAGCACCGGCUAACUACGUGCCAGCCGCCGCGGUAA
rnacentral:rRNA from 1 species